rnacentral:rRNA from 1 species
AUGUUGCGCGAGAGAUGGCAGUGGCAGGGAUGCAUUUUCAUUCUCGUCCUGCUUCUUCUCUCCAACACAUCAGCGUCAGGCACUUCUCUGGAGGAGAAGGACAACACGAUCCUCCCGUCAAAUUCUCCAUCAGACUUCGCGAGAAUCCUGCAAUCUAAGCAGACCAGGCAAGCGCGGGUGUGCAGCGGAGAAGACCACCGGCUGCUGCGCUCCCUCGCCAACACCGGAGCGGAGGUCAUGGUCACCAUCCCCAACUCACAUCUGCAGCACAUGGCCGAGUUCCAGGAGGAGGCCCGGCUCUGGGUCGCCGCCAACGUGGCGCCGUUCCUCCCGGCGACCAUGAUCACGCACAUCCUGGCGGGAGGCAACGCCCUGUCGUCCGUUUCCCCCGGGGACGCCGCCUACUCGCUGGUCCCCACCAUGCUGAACCUCCACGCCGCCCUCGUCGCCGCCGGACUUGACGGCCGCGUCAGGGUGUCUACCGCGCUCUCCGCGGUGCCACUCGCCCCGUCUUGGUCCGCCGGCAUCGCCAGGCGCGUCCUGCGGUUCCUGGGGGAGACCGGCUCGCCAUUGUUCCUCCUCAAAGCUCACGCGUCUGAGGCCACCGCAGAAGCCAAAGUCGGCAACUCAUACGCCGCGAUGCGGGCGCUGGGCUUCUCCAGCAUCCCGCUGAUCGCGGCGGAGUCGGCGGAGCUCGGUCUCACUGGGGCGCUGGUGUACCACAGCUACUUGUAUGGCCGUCGUCCUGGCGGUGGCGGGAGGCGGUCGCUGGCGACAGGGACGUUCUGCGUGGCGCUCCAGAACGCGGACCCGACGGCCCUGCAGGCAGGCCUGAGCUGGGCGUGCGGGCAGGGCCAGGCCGACUGCUCCGCAGUGCAGCCCGGAGGGGCUUGCUACAAGCAGAACAACGUGGCGGCGCUGGCCUCAUACGCCUACAAUGACUACUACCAGAAGAGCGCCAGCACCGGCGCCACCUGCUCCUUCAAUGGCACCGCCACCACUACUGCCACUGAUCCCAGUUCAGGAUCGUGCGUCUUCGCAGGAAGCACGAUGGCAGGAGGCUCCACCUCUAACUCGAGCGUGCCAAGCGCCAGCCCUCCGACGAGCCUGGGCGCCCCUCCGCCAGACAAUCUCACUCCUCCAGUCGGCUCAAGCCCUCCGUCCGACUUUGGCCCCCCGGCAGCCGACACGGCCCCUCCGACGAGCCUGGGCGCCCCUCCGUCAGAUGAUCUCACUCCUCCAGUCGGCUCAAGCCCUCCGUCCGACUUUGGCCGCCCGGCAGCCGACACGGCCCCUCCGACGAGCUUUGACGCUCCUGCAGGUGGCUUCGGACCACCGUCUGGCUUCGGUCCCCCGUCUGUGUUCGGCAGCCCGCCAUCGACGUUUGGCCCGCCUGGGAGCUUAAACGGGAGCGGGAGCUUCGGGCCGAGCAGCACCCUCGAGCCUUACGGCGUCGGGUGCCGCCAUGUCACCUCCUUGGCUGUCUCCACCCUUCUCUCCGCCAUUGUUCUCGCCCUUCUUUGCGCGUCACCCAAUCUAAUGUAA